AGCGUACACGGUGGAUGCCCUGGCAGUCAGAGGCGAUGAAGGACGUGCUAAUCUGCGAUAAGCGUCGGUGAGGUGAUAUGAACCGUUAUAACCGGCGAUUUCCGAAUGGGGAAACCCAGUGUGUUUCGACACACUAUCAUUAACUGAAUCCAUAGGUUAAUGAGGCGAACCGGGGGAACUGAAACAUCUAAGUACCCCGAGGAAAAGAAAUCAACCGAGAUUCCCCCAGUAGCGGCGAGCGAACGGGGAGGAGCCCAGAGCCUGAAUCAGUGUGUGUGUUAGUGGAAGCGUCUGGAAAGGCGUGCGAUACAGGGUGACAGCCCCGUACACAAAAAUGCACAUAUUGUGAGCUCGAUGAGUAGGGCGGGACACGUGGUAUCCUGUCUGAAUAUGGGGGGACCAUCCUCCAAGGCUAAAUACUCCUGACUGACCGAUAGUGAACCAGUACCGUGAGGGAAAGGCGAAAAGAACCCCGGCGAGGGGAGUGAAAAAGAACCUGAAACCGUGUACGUACAAGCAGUGGGAGCCUCUUAAUGGGGUGACUGCGUACCUUUUGUAUAAUGGGUCAGCGACUUAUAUUCUGUAGCAAGGUUAACCGAAUAGGGGAGCCGAAGGGAAACCGAGUCUUAACUGGGCGUUAAGUUGCAGGGUAUAGACCCGAAACCCGGUGAUCUAGCCAUGGGCAGGUUGAAGGUUGGGUAACACUAACUGGAGGACCGAACCGACUAAUGUUGAAAAAUUAGCGGAUGACUUGUGGCUGGGGGUGAAAGGCCAAUCAAACCGGGAGAUAGCUGGUUCUCCCCGAAAGCUAUUUAGGUAGCGCCUCGUGAAUUCAUCUCCGGGGGUAGAGCACUGUUUCGGCAAGGGGGUCAUCCCGACUUACCAACCCGAUGCAAACUGCGAAUACCGGAGAAUGUUAUCACGGGAGACACACGGCGGGUGCUAACGUCCGUCGUGAAGAGGGAAACAACCCAGACCGCCAGCUAAGGUCCCAAAGUCAUGGUUAAGUGGGAAACGAUGUGGGAAGGCCCAGACAGCCAGGAUGUUGGCUUAGAAGCAGCCAUCAUUUAAAGAAAGCGUAAUAGCUCACUGGUCGAGUCGGCCUGCGCGGAAGAUGUAACGGGGCUAAACCAUGCACCGAAGCUGCGGCAGCGACACUAUGUGUUGUUGGGUAGGGGAGCGUUCUGUAAGCCUGUGAAGGUGGCCUGUGAGGGUUGCUGGAGGUAUCAGAAGUGCGAAUGCUGACAUAAGUAACGAUAAAGCGGGUGAAAAGCCCGCUCGCCGGAAGACCAAGGGUUCCUGUCCAACGUUAAUCGGGGCAGGGUGAGUCGACCCCUAAGGCGAGGCCGAAAGGCGUAGUCGAUGGGAAACAGGUUAAUAUUCCUGUACUUGGUGUUACUGCGAAGAGGGGACGGAGAAGGCUAUGUUGGCCGGGCGACGGUUGUCCCGGUUUAAGCGUGUAGGCUGAUUUUCCAGGCAAAUCCGGAAAAUCAAGGCUGAGGCGUGAUGACGAGGCACUACGGUGCUGAAGCAACAAAUGCCCUGCUUCCAGGAAAAGCCUCUAAGCAUCAGGUAACAUCAAAUCGUACCCCAAACCGACACAGGUGGUCAGGUAGAGAAUACCAAGGCGCUUGAGAGAACUCGGGUGAAGGAACUAGGCAAAAUGGUGCCGUAACUUCGGGAGAAGGCACGCUGAUAUGUAGGUGAAGCGACUUGCUCGUGGAGCUGAAAUCAGUCGAAGAUACCAGCUGGCUGCAACUGUUUAUUAAAAACACAGCACUGUGCAAACACGAAAGUGGACGUAUACGGUGUGACGCCUGCCCGGUGCCGGAAGGUUAAUUGAUGGGGUUAGCGGCAACGCGAAGCUCUUGAUCGAAGCCCCGGUAAACGGCGGCCGUAACUAUAACGGUCCUAAGGUAGCGAAAUUCCUUGUCGGGUAAGUUCCGACCUGCACGAAUGGCGUAAUGAUGGCCAGGCUGUCUCCACCCGAGACUCAGUGAAAUUGAACUCGCUGUGAAGAUGCAGUGUACCCGCGGCAAGACGGAAAGACCCCGUGAACCUUUACUAUAGCUUGACACUGAACAUUGAGCCUUGAUGUGUAGGAUAGGUGGGAGGCUUUGAAGUGUGGACGCCAGUCUGCAUGGAGCCGACCUUGAAAUACCACCCUUUAAUGUUUGAUGUUCUAACGUUGGCCCGUAAUCCGGGUUGCGGACAGUGUCUGGUGGGUAGUUUGACUGGGGCGGUCUCCUCCUAAAGAGUAACGGAGGAGCACGAAGGUUGGCUAAUCCUGGUCGGACAUCAGGAGGUUAGUGCAAUGGCAUAAGCCAGCUUGACUGCGAGCGUGACGGCGCGAGCAGGUGCGAAAGCAGGUCAUAGUGAUCCGGUGGUUCUGAAUGGAAGGGCCAUCGCUCAACGGAUAAAAGGUACUCCGGGGAUAACAGGCUGAUACCGCCCAAGAGUUCAUAUCGACGGCGGUGUUUGGCACCUCGAUGUCGGCUCAUCACAUCCUGGGGCUGAAGUAGGUCCCAAGGGUAUGGCUGUUCGCCAUUUAAAGUGGUACGCGAGCUGGGUUUAGAACGUCGUGAGACAGUUCGGUCCCUAUCUGCCGUGGGCGCUGGAGAACUGAGGGGGGCUGCUCCUAGUACGAGAGGACCGGAGUGGACGCAUCACUGGUGUUCGGGUUGUCAUGCCAAUGGCACUGCCCGGUAGCUAAAUGCGGAAGAGAUAAGUGCUGAAAGCAUCUAAGCACGAAACUUGCCCCGAGAUGAGUUCUCCCUGACUCCUUGA
rnacentral:rRNA from 1 species